CCUACGGGGGGCUGCAGUGGGGAAUAUUGCACAAUGGGGGAAACCCUGAUGCAGCAACGCCGCGUGAGUGAUGACGGUCUUCGGAUUGUAAAGCUCUGUCUUUAGGGACGAUAAUGACGGUACCUAAGGAGGAAGCCACGGCUAACUACGUGCCAGCAGCCGCGGUAAUACGUAGGUGGCAAGCGUUGUCCGGAUUUACUGGGCGUAAAGGGAGCGUAGGCGGACUUUUAAGUGGGAUGUGAAAUACUCGGGCUCAACCUGGGUGCUGCAUUCCAAACUGGAAGUCUAGAGUACAGGAGGGGAAAGCGGAAUUCCUAGUGUAGCGGUGAAAUGCGUAGAGAUUAGGAAGAACACCAGUGGCGAAGGCGGCUUUCUGGACUGUAACUGACGCUGAGGCUCGAAAGCGUGGGGAGCAAACAGGAUUAGAUACCCCGGUAGUC
rnacentral:rRNA from 1 species